CGCCGCUCUAGUCAGUCUCCGCUGUGCGGGUCAGCGUGCGGACUGCGAGGGCUGCAGUGCCCCCUCGGGAAUGUGACUGACCCGUGCCUGGGAAGCUUGGCGGCUUGGCUGUGCGUCUUCCACACCUCUACCUGUCCUCUUCUCCCUUUCCUUUAAAAAAGAAGGAAAGAAAGAAAAGAAAACCCAGCAAGUUCCAUCAGACACACUCCAGAGGCUCCCCUUAACCGUGCAGCUUCUUUGCGAGGCAGCGGCGGCGGCACCAGUAGGAGUCGCCGGGAGCUGCUCCGGGUCGCGCGCCGGUCCGGCGGAGCCCCCAAGCCCUAGCCGCCGCUUGCCGCCCCACUGUAGGCUGUGACUCCGGAGCCCUUGCCCCAAGCCGAGGCUUAGUGCGGACCGCGCCAGCCGUCUUCUUCUACCAUCUCCAGUACAACCACUGUCUCCUCCUGCGCUCCUGCUCCAGCUUCUGCUCCGAUACAGCCGGGCUGGGCUGAGGCCAGGCUCCGCAAUCCCAGCUGCCACCCUCGAGCCUAGGCUGGGGCCGCUGCUGCAGCCAAAGGCUGCUGGAUCCCAAUGAUCUUGAGAUGCAGCUCUUGAGAAUGGCAUACAACAACUGAGAUGAUGCCUUCCUUCUAUUACAGAUGAAUACAAUGUGAGCUUUGGCAAAGAGACUUCCAGCACACUUGAAUGAUUGGAUUCUAUCAAAGGAAGAAUUGCAUGACAUCAUCUUUCCAAAACAAUACUGUGGGCAGGUGAGAGUCCCAUAUAUUAAUAAAAUGAUAGCAGUUGUUACGCUGUCAUCUGUGGUAAAUCUUUGGUGAACAUAUGAACAUGGUAAAACAUGAACAUUAAAAAAAAAAGUAUGACAAAUCAAAUCAGCAAACAUUUAUUAAGCACCUGCUAUGUGCCAGGUACUGUUCUAAGUUCUGGGAAUACAAAGAAAGGAACCCAAAAAAAUCCCUCCCCUUCCAAAACAAAUAAAAGUCCUUGAUGUCAGAGAGCUCAUAGUCCAGUGAGAGAAAUAACAUGAAAACAAUUAAUACAAGUAAGAUAUAUACUGAAUAAACUGAAGAUAAACACAGAGGGAAAGAACUAAGGUAAAGGAAGCCUGGGAAAGACUUCUUGAUUUAUAUGAAACUAUUAAUAAAAUGUUAUUCCAAGUAAAUUCGCUUUGAAAAAUGAACAUUUCAUGCUAAUUAGUUUUUUAUAUCAUGAUGCAUUAUGGUAACAAUGUAAUGCAUUUAUUAAUAGUUAAUAGAAUCUGUAGUAAUUUAAGUGAUAUUUUAAUUUUGUCCAUAAUAAAAGUUUAUAUGUCUAAAUUGGACCUUACUAAAUGCUAUGUAGGGAAGCCAAAUGUUGACUUUGAAAUCAUUCAUCUGUUUGCAUUUCCUCAAUUUAUUUUAAACCUACUUUUGUCCAGAAGAAGAGAGUCCAUGUUGAUUAUUUCAUCCCUGAAUUUGCAUUACAGUUAUAGCAAAGGAAGAAAAUGUGUGAUAUGUAAGCCUGCCUUUUACAUUCAGUUUAAUAACAAUGACCUUUCCUGACAGUGACCUGAAGCAGAAUAAUCUAAGAGCCAUGUGCCUUGAUGGGGAGGAAGAAAUAUUUUAGGAUAUGAGCUUUUUAUAGUCUCUUCUUAGUAAUUAGUAAUUCACCAAUUGUGAAGUCUGAGUAGAAGUAAAAAAAAAAAAAAAAAAAAAGAUUGUAGGCUUGGUGAAGUAAAAAAUAUGAAGAAGAAAAUUUAAAGUAGAAGAAGUUGUAUUUCCAGCAACAUGGUAGGAAGUUCUUUGCCCUAAAUUUCCAUCUCACAAAUGCUGAGUUAGAUUUGGUAGUUAUUCUAAAAGUUGUUCAGGAUGAAAAUCAGCGUCCAUGUAGUGAUGCUCUGCCUUAAUUUGCUACAAGCAAUGCUGUCAUAUCUACUUAAAUUCUUAGAUGGAUUCAUGAGUUCAGUGGGAUUGGUAUUCCCUCCACUAUGCAGAUGGCAAUUCCUCCCAGCCUUAUAUCCAGUGCAAUUAUUAUGCACGUAUUUCUUUUAAUCUUUUAAAGAGACUCCACUGAAUAUUUUGAAGUCCAUUUUCUAGUCCUUUUACUCUUUAUGGAACUGAUGGAGUACUUGGGACUUGUCCCAUUUUUAAAGUAGCUUGGUGCAGUGGAUAGAAUAUUGGGCUUGGAGUUAGGAAGAUUUUCAGUAAGUCUCUUGAUUCCUUCAUCCCUUCAGUUAUUAGCCUUCUCUCACUUUAAAUUAGUUUACAUUUGGUAUUUACUUACUUUUGCAUAUGUACAUAAAUUUUGUGCAUAUGUACCCUGUCACUUCCCAUAAAAUGUUAGCUCCAAUGAUAGAGUGCGUUUUGGGCUGUUUUUUUUUUUAAAUAGUAUUUUUUCCCAUUUACUAAUCAAGACAAUUUUUAGCAUUCAUUUUUACAAGACUGAGUUCCAAUUUUUCUCUUCCCUAUUCCUUUUUCCUAAAUGGUAGGGAAUUUUAAAUCAAUUAUAUAUGUGCUAUCAUGUAAAACAUUUCCAUAUUAAUCACAAUUGCAAAAAAAAGAAACAGAUCAAAAGGAAAAACACACAUGAAAAAGAAUAAAGUGAAGAAAGUAUGGUUCGAGAUCUGCAUUCAGAGACCAUGAGUUCUUUAAAUGUAUGUAGUUGGCAUUUUUUUCAUUAUUAUUUUGUAUUUGUCUUAUAUCAUUAUGUUGCUGAGAAAAACUGAGUCAUUCAUACUUGUUCAUCACACAGUGUUGCUAAUAAUGUGUACAAUGUUUUUCUGGUUCUGCUCAUUUCACUUUGUAUCAGUUAAUGCAAGCCUUUCCAAGUUUUGCUGAAAUCUGCCUGUUUAUCAUUCUUAUUGCACAGUAUUAUUCCAUUAUAUUUAUAUACUACAAUUUGUUCAGCCAUGUCUACUUCUUUUGUAUCCCCUCAAUUUCUAAUAUUUUACUACCAUGAAAAAGGCUGCCAUAUAUAUUUUUGUAUAUUUAAGUCUUUCCCCCUUUUUUGUUAUCUCUUUAAGAUGCAGAACUAGUAAUGGUAGUACAGAUAUGCACAGUUUGGUGGCCUUUGAGCCAUAGGGCCA